rnacentral:rRNA from 1 species
GACGAACGCUGGCGGCGUGCUUAACACAUGCAAGUCGAACGGAAAGGCCCUGCUUUUGUGGGGUGCUCGAGUGGCGAACGGGUGAGUAACCCGUGAGUUACCUGUCCUUGCCUUUGGGAUAACUUCAGGAAACUGGGGCUAAUACCGGCUAGGAGCUACUGCUGCAUGGUGGGGGUUGGAAAGUUUCGGCGGUUGGGGAUGGACUCGCGGCUUAUCAGCUUGUUGGUGGGGUAGUGGCUUACCAAGGCUUUGACGGGUAGCCGGCCUGAGAGGGUGACCGGCCACAUUGGGACUGAGAUACGGCCCAGACUCCUACGGGAGGCAGCAGUGGGGAAUAUUGCACAAUGGGCGGAAGCCUGAUGCAGCAACGCCGCGUGCGGGAUGACGGCCUUCGGGUUGUAAACCGCUUUCGCCUGUGACGAAGCGUGAGUGACGGUAAUGGGUAAAGAAGCACCGGCUAACUACGUG